GGUUUGUGGCUCAGUGGUAGAGCGCUUGUCUGAUAUGCAUGAAGCACUAGGUUCAAUCCUCAGCACCA
rnacentral:tRNA from 1 species